UCAAACACUUAGAAACAUUAAAACAAAUAUUAAAACAACAAAUAAAUUAAAACAAUAUUAAAACAAUUCUCAAAACAACAAACAAAUAGAAAAUACAAUAAAAACCCUUUAUAUUAAGAUAUUUACAACUAAAAUAGUAGCAAAAUUAAUAAUAAAGUAAAAGUUCUACAAUAUCCAAAUAAUAUUAAAAAUGAAAGCCAAAUAAUAUGAAAAACUACAGCGAAACAACAUAAUAAAAAAUUGCAAAAUAACAUAAUAAAC
rnacentral:lncRNA from 1 species